UUUCCGUAGGUGAACCUGCGGAAGGAUCAUUAUUGUAUAACCGAGGUGCGAGGGCUGUCGCUGACCCGAAAGGUCGUGCACGCCCGAGUGCCCUCACACACAUCCAUCUCACCCCUAUGUGCACCUCCGCGUGGGUCCCCCUUUGGCUUGUUCGGAGGGGGGCUUACGUUUUCACACAAACUUUGUAUGCAGUGUAGAAUGUAUUUUUGUUUUUGCGAUCACGCAAUCAAUACAACUUUCAACAACGGAUCUCUUGGCUCUC
rnacentral:misc_RNA from 1 species